rnacentral:rRNA from 1 species
GAUGAACGCUAGCGGGAGGCCUAACACAUGCCAGCCGAGCGGUAUUUGUUCUUCGGAACAGAGAGAGCGGCGCACGGGUGCGGAACACGUGUGCAACCUGCCUUUAUCUGGGGGAUAGCCUUUCGAAAGGAAGAUUAAUACCCCAUAAUAUAUUGAGUGGCAUCAUUUGAUAUUGAAAACUCCGGUGGAUAGAGAUGGGCACGCGCAAGAUUAGAUAGUUGGUGAGGUAACGGCUCACCAAGUCAAUGAUCUUUAGGGGGCCUGAGAGGGUGAUCCCCCACACUGGUACUGAGACACGGACCAGACUCCUACGGGAGGCAGCAGUGAGGAAUAUUGGACAAUGGGUUAGCGCCUGAUCCAGCCAUCCCGCGUGAAGGACGACGGCCCUAUGGGUUGUAAACUUCUUUUGUAUAGGGAUAAACCUACUCUCGUGAGAGUAACUGAAGGUACUAUACGAAUAAGCACCGGCUAACUCCGUG